UCUACAAAGGGGUUAAAAUCUUCACUUCUGCCUGUCCAGGACUCCCACAGCUGCCGCAUCCCCCGCUUCUGGCCGGCUGAGUUGCCAGCACAGUUUCUGUCUCUCUCUCCGGGGGGGGGUGCCCAGACAUCUCAAUUCUCAUCAACCCCUGCAUGUUCUCUUCCACCUCUGCACCUUUUGGGGCCCUGGCUUCCUCCCUGUCAUGGCCUCCCCCUCCCCCACGCAGACGCAGCUGGGCAGGGGAGAGGUCAGAUCUCACUCACCAAUGCCGGAUUCCCAAAGAGGAAGUUCUCUGGGAAUCUCCUGCUUUUAACCCCCGUGUGUUCUCAGAGGCGUAUCCAGAUCCUCAAUGGCCACAUCACAUGCCAAUUUUGAAUUUGGCCACUGAUUGUCCCGACUUAGACCUUUCCAGAAACACAUUUCCAGGCCAAACCACGACACACACAUUCAGCUUGCGAGCUUAUACUAAUUGAUACUAAAUGAUGUCCAAUAAUUCUAAUAAAUAUGAAGUUAGACAAGAAGCAGGUGGCAUGUGUGGAUUAACAAGGAGCUCCUCAUCAAUCUCAAGCAGAAGGUGAGCUGAGACAUCUCAUUUUGGGCUUUAAGGGAUUGUCACUGAGCGUCAGUCACUGCAGCAUCUGAACAAACAGCAAGAAGAGAAAAGGAUUCAUUCAGCUGCAGCACAUGAAAAAGAAUUAUGUUUUUUCAACAAUCUGUUUUGAUGCAAGUCCAGCAUUAAAGCAUUAAAGGAUUUAUAAGAAUUUAUCCUUCUGCUUAUAAUUUUUGUCUUCCAUAAAAACAUAGGAGGGAGGUGUUUUUUCACGAUUUGAAGGAGGAGGCAAAAUUACAUUUGUUAAGAAAUAUUUGGAAGCAACUUACUUCAGCCAGCUAAGUCAUGGAAGUGCUCUUAACUACAUGCUGCUUCUGCCACCUUUGAAGUUUUGACUUCUUCUGUGAUAAAUGAAAAGGGCAACAGUCUUGUGGAAAAUCUGAUUUUGAGCUGCAAUGCAGGAUGUGUUUCACAUGGGACCUGCUAGAAGAUUGGGAAUUGAACUUCUAGCAGUAUCUUGGGAGUUUCUAUCACAAAGGACUGAAAAGAAAAAAGAACUUUUCCUAAACACAUCUAGGUGGCUUACAGUUUGCCACAAUAUUGAUUCUGAAACACAUUAAAUUUUUAUUUAUCUACUUGAGGGAGUGAAAUUCCACAGGGGUUUAAGAUUUGUGCUGAUUCAGAUGGCUUUUCUCCACAUCAGAGGCUUUUUGGAAGUACAGUAAUACAAAAAUGAAAGAUUUUCUGGCUAGAUUGACACCCACAUGAGAUACUGAAUUCAGUGAGAAAAUGCUUACAUGUUGAUUUCUCCAGUGAAAAGCUGUAGGUCUUAUAUUUUUAUAUUAAGCUUCCUUUGCAGUUCAGUUAUGUGAACAUUAAAGGCCUGUUUUUUUCCUUGUCGUCCAGUUAAUUUUUAUAUAAAUGUGAGUACCCAAGUGAUUAAAUGUAUAAAAAAAUAUGUGUACAUCCUAUCUGUUUAGAGGUACAACUGACAAAGAAGUCUAAAGGAUAAUUUUGUCUUCAUGUUUAUUCAGACUACUGUGACCUCAGUUUCCCCUUCAAUAUGAACAAAUUUUCUAGAAAGCAAUGUGCAGGUAAGAAUUAUGAACUGUCUGGGGGAAAAAAGUCUCGGGGUUUUCUCUGGUCGAGAUGAACCUGAGUUUUUUUUCCCCAACCCAGCUGUCUGAGAAGUAAUCAGAAGUCUUUGGCUGUCGUUCUCAAGGUUGUUUAUUAUUUCUUAUCUAAAAUAUUUUCUGUCUGGCCUGCCAAGGUCUGUUCUGCAGGUCGGGCUGAGGCACACUGCCUGCCCCUGAGUUGGUGUUGUCUUCUAUACUACAAACUAUGUAUUCAAUAUUUACAGUUAUUUCCCAAUACCUAUCACCUAUGUUAGACAGUGACUUUCUACUCUACACCAGAGUGCCACCAUCACCAAGAAGAUGGAGGCUAGGAAGAAGAAGGAAGAAGGACAGCACAAUGCCCAAAUCCCUCCAUCUUGUUCCCCUAGACCCCCAUAGUCAAAUUCUUCAAAAUUCUACCUUUCACCCUGUGGCAACUACUAUUGUGCUACUUAAACUUUUGUGACUUGUAAUUCUUCAUAUAGAGUUGGUAAUUUGCUCCAUGGGUUAAGAUCAAAAUCCCAUGUGUCUUUGGCUUCCUGCCAGGGUCUCCAAGCCCCUGCCAGGAUUUUGAGCCAUCCAGGGCAUCCAGACGGAUGUUUUGGGUUCUGACAAAAAAGAAACUCUUAAUUAAUAUUUUUGAAGUAUAUUGAUGUAUAUUUUAUUAGUGUGGGACAGAAAGUUAACACGGUGCCAAUAGCUGACUAUUUGUUCUGCAUUCUUUUUUAUACCUAUUCAUCUUUUUAAAAGGAAAGGUAUUGUUUGGAUAUAUGUAACCACUUCAGACAUCUAAAAGACUCCUCUAGAAUAAUAUUCAUGUUUGUGAUUAUUGUGUGUAAUAGAAUGAGUCAGUGCAGACCUUUUGGAAUUGCUAGAGUAGAAGUAAUCAAGAUUAUUAACUUGAAAGACUGCAAAAGAACAUGGAAGUAGCAAAACCUAUUUGGCAGUGAGAGUUUAAAGUGAGCUUCUGCACUUUUCCAUGUGUUGCUAAUGACAGUGAGGUCUUGUCUGUAAGAUGAAAUUUGUGCAUAGUUUCAUCUCAUACUGACACCUAGAAUAUGCCACAUAAGGGAAGAUUUGUUAUAAUUGUCAUUUCUUCUUAGGAUGUCUGUUUCAAGUUUACUGAUGAAGGUUUCGUAUUACAUUCUAGUUACUUCUUCUGAUCAGAUUCUGACAAAAGAAAUAUCCUGAUAUACCUUUUAUUUAAACUUUAUAGAUGACAUGACUUUUUUUUCCCCUGUACUUCCUUAUAAUAAAUGUCUUCAUGUCCCUGAACUAAUCUUAUUUCUUAGACAGAAUGCUUAAAAUAGACACUAAUUCCAAGCCAAAGUUGUUAUAUCUCAGCCAGUGAAAAGAAUAAUCCUUGUACAUCUGUACAUGUACAUUAUGAUUUGAACAAGGUAGUAAAUGUCAUCAAAGUGUAUUUAGUAGAAAACUGGUAAGCAGCUUAAACUGCAAAUGCCAGCUGAAUGUUAGCAUUAUUAGUAGGAAAUUGAGCAUUUUUCAAUUAUUGAAAUUAUUGAA